GGUGGCGGUCGCAUGUUGAGUGUCAACCAACAGAGGCACCACCUAUGACUUGGGCAUCAUUCUCUAGCUUGUUUAUGGAGAAGUAUAUCCCCCGGACUUUGAGGGAUAAGAAAAGAGAUGAGUUCUUGAGCCUAGAGCAAGGUAGGAUGUCGGUCAAUGCAUGAGGCUAAGUUUCGUGCAUUAUCCCGGUAUGCCACCCAACUGUGUUUCAGUUCA
rnacentral:misc_RNA from 1 species